ACGCUGGCGGCAGGCCUAACACAUGCAAGUCGAGCGGUAGAGAGGAGCUUGCUUCUCUUGAGAGCGGCGGACGGGUGAGUAAUGCCUAGGAAUCUGCCUGGUAGUGGGGGAUAACGUUCGGAAACGGACGCUAAUACCGCAUACGUCCUACGGGAGAAAGCAGGGGACCUUCGGGCCUUGCGCUAUCAGAUGAGCCUAGGUCGGAUUAGCUAGUUGGUGGGGUAAUGGCUCACCAAGGCGACGAUCCGUAACUGGUCUGAGAGGAUGAUCAGUCGCACUGGAACUGAGACACGGUCCAGACUCCUACGGGAGGCAGCAGUGGGGAAUAUUGGACAAUGGGCGAAAGCCUGAUCCAGCCAUGCCGCGUGUGUGAAGAAGGUCUUCGGAUUGUAAAGCACUUUAAGUUGGGAGGAAGGGUUGUAGAUUAAUACUCUGCAAUUUUGACGUUACCGACAGAAUAAGCACCGGCUAACUCUGUGCCAGCAGCCGCGGUAAUACAGAGGGUGCAAGCGUUAAUCGGAAUUACUGGGCGUAAAGCGCGCGUAGGUGGUUAGUUAAGUUGGAUGUGAAAUCUCCGGGCUCAACCUGGGAACUGCAUUCAAAACUGACUGACUAGAGUAUGGUAGAGGGUGGUGGAAUUUCCUGUGUAGCGGUGAAAUGCGUAGAUAUAGGAAGGAACACCAGUGGCGAAGGCGACCACCUGGACUGAUACUGACACUGAGGUGCGAAAGCGUGGGGAGCAAAC
rnacentral:rRNA from 1 species